rnacentral:rRNA from 1 species
AACGUACGCUGGCGGCACGCCUAACACAUGCAAGUCGAACGGAGUAGCAAUACUCAGUGGCAGACGGGUGAGUAACAUGUAGGUAUCUGCCCUUUGGCCUGGAAUAACACGAGGAAACUUGUGCUAAUACCGGAUAAGUCUUUACGGAGAAAGCUUUAUGCACCAUUGGAUGAGCCUGCACUUGAUUAGUUUGUUGGUGGGGUAAUGGCCUACCAAGACUUUGAUCAAUAGCUGAUUUGAGAGGAUGAUCAGCCACAUUGGGACUGAGACACGGCCCAAACUCCUACGGGAGGCAGCAGUGGGGAAUCUUGCACAAUGGAGGAAACUCUGAUGCAGCGAUGCCGCGUGAGUGAAGAAGGCCCUUGGGUUGUAAAGCUCUUUCGUCGGGGAAGAAAAUGACUGUACCCGAAUAAGAAGGUCCGGCUAACUUCGUG